GCUGGGGCGGGAGGUUGGGGGGGGCGGCGCAGCUGGGACCCAGAGAGGGGGCCCGCAGACCCUAGAAGGGGCAGCCUUCAGCAGGCAGCCGCUCAAGCGGGUGGCCCUGAUAAACAAGUGAAUUUCCGGUGACAGGUACAAAGUCCAGAGCUGAAGAGGGAGAAUUGUAGGCCUGUGAAGGCCGCAGGCAGGAACCAGAGGGGAGGAGGCGAGCAUUCUCCAGGCAAAGCCAGAGGGACCAAGGACACUCAAAACUGCCUGCAAAAGAGAAAUAGGAAGCAGCACUAUCAGCUGAGAGCGAAGAGUCCAGAGGGAGUACUGGGGUUCAAGAAGAGAAGAGAAGAGAAGAGAAAGUGUCUGGCAGGCAGAGGAUGGUCAAUAAAAACUUGUUGAAGGAAUGAAUGGUUGGAAUUCCAGGGGCCUCACUUGCUCUCUCAAGGUCUGGAAAGGAGGAAAGCUGGUCCCACCUGAGACGCUAGGAGUGUUGGUGCAUUACCGUGUAGAAAUCCUCUGGUGGCCGGCACCACUCACGCCUGGGAGGAGACAUCGCUCCCCACAGGGACAGAAAGCCCACUUCUGCGUGCAGUUGCCCGGCACCCACUCAGACUUCCCAGUUGGAACAAGCAUCCCCUCCUCAGGGUGGGGGCAAGGAUGGAGGACAAACAUGACUUCUGGGAAGAGGGUUAAGAAAAGGGUGGGACAUCCCUCUGACACCGAUGACAUCCCUAUGUCACCACAAAUGAAUCAUGAGAGCUAAUGGGCUGGCGUUGUCACUCCUCCUUAUCCUCAAAUAGCAUUUCAAGCCAGACUGAACAGCCAGGAAGCAAUCCCCGGGGCUCCGCCAGUCUGUGGACCCUGCAGGAUCCUGCUGUGGUCUGUAGUGGCAGCUUUCCCUCAUAAAAUGUGCUUUGUAUUGGAAGUAGGCUUGCUGUUGUUUGAGGCAGGAGGACAAUGAGUCAUUUGUGUCCAGUGCUAGUGGUUCUAGGAUUUCAGAGUGACCUAGGGUGAAGCAAGGACCUGGUGUACCUUAAAGGCAAGACACACUGAAAAUCCAUGACUUCCCGUCUCUGCCAGCCCACCCUUGCCUUUUAAAGGGUCCCCACUCGAUCAUGACACAGCACAGAGAUGAGCUCAUUAUUUUUCCAGACUAAAACCUCUAAUGCUUUCUGAGUACAUAGGGUUUGGCUUUUAAAAAUCACUUUUAAGAGCUUGGAGAUGACACAUGCAGAGAGCAACCACCCGCUGCGAAUGCUGGCAGGGACUAUGAACCCGCUUGCUAUCUCAGUGGGAUGGAUUUUGUUGUUGUUUUGUUUUCAUUGAAGUAUAGUUAAUGUUGUGUUAAUUUCUGGUGUACAGCAAAGUGAAUGAGUCACACAUAUAUAUACAUAUUCUUAUAUUGUUUUUCAUUAUGGGUUAUUACAAGGUACUGAAAAUAAUUCCCUGUGCUAUACAGUAUAAACCUGUUGUCUAUCUAUUUUAUAUAUAGUAGUUUUGAUCUGCUAAUACCAAAUUCC